rnacentral:rRNA from 1 species
AGAUAUCAGGAGGAACACCGAUGGCGAAGGCAGGUCUCUGGGCAUUAACUGACGCUGAGGAGCGAAAGCAUGGGGAGCGAACAGGAUUAGAUACCCUGGUAGUCCAUGCCGUAAACGUUGGGCACUAGGUGUGGGGGACAUUCCACGUUUUCCGCGCCGUAGCUAACGCAUUAAGUGCCCCGCCUGGGGAGUACGGCCGCAAGGCUAAAACUCAAAGGAAUUGACGGGGGCCCGCACAAGCGGCGGAGCAUGCGGAUUAAUUCGAUGCAACGCGAAGAACCUUACCAAGGCUUGACAUGGGCCGGACCGGGCUGGAAACAGUCCUUCCCCUUUGGGGCCGGUUCACAGGUGGUGCAUGGUUGUCGUCAGCUCGUGUCGUGAGAUGUUGGGUUAAGUCCCGCAACGAGCGCAACCCUCGUUCCAUGUUGCCAGCGCGUAAUGGCGGGGACUCAUGGGAGACUGCCGGGGUCAACUCGGAGGAAGGUGGGGACGACGUCAAAUCAUCAUGCCCCUUAUGUCUUGGGCUUCACGCAUGCUACAAUGGCCGGUACAAAGGGUUGCGAUACUGUGAGGUGGAGCUAAUCCCAAAAAGCCGGUCUCAGUUCGGAUUGGGGUCUGCAACUCGACCCCAUGAAGUCGGAGUCGCUAGUAAUCGCAGAUCAGCAACGCUGCGGUGAAUACGUUCCCGGGCCUUGUACACACCGCCCGUCAAGUCACGAAAGUUGGUAACACCCGAAGCCGGUGGCCUAACCCCUUGUGGGAGGGAGCUGUCGAAGGUGGGACUGGCGAUUGGACUAAGU